UAAAAAAGAGUCUGCGGUGCUACACA
rnacentral:piRNA from 1 species